UGCUACCUCUGGCUCUGUCCGCUUAAAACUCUCUCAAGUGUACAAUCCUUAUAAAAGUUAGCCUUGUUUAAAGUGUAUUGUUUGUCCCUCACUAAACAUGCUUGCUAAAAGCUACUUUCUGAGACCCAUUCUGUAAAUUUUCUUCUGUAUAUUCUAGGGAGGAUCCAAAAGCGGAGCCAUCCUACAAAGCACAGAUCAUCAGCCCAGACAGACCCCACAAUUCAGGAUAUGAGAAGAAUACUGGACCCAAAGUCUUGCAGUGAAACAAAGAGAGGAC
rnacentral:lncRNA from 1 species